ACAAACCAAAAAAGUAAAUUUAUUUAAAUUACUAAAAUAGCUUUUAAAGUCAUUUACAGAUUAGCUGCUACAAUUAUUUUUCCUGAUAUAAGUAAUAUUAUUUUAAAAUUUUGGUCAAUGAAACAGUUAAUAAAAACAUCUGUUUCUCCGUAUAAUACAUAUAUGUAUAAAAUAAGCCUUUUCAAAAAUUCUUAUUUUAGAAUCCUCUAUAAAUCAAGAAUAUCUGACUUCUGACAGUGUCGGGAACAAAUUAUAAUAAGUAGUAUAAAUUUAUGAAUAUUGGUAGUCCUA
rnacentral:lncRNA from 1 species